rnacentral:misc_RNA from 1 species
CUCUGACAAGUGUCACUCGUAAUGGUUGGUUUGUACGUAAAAUACAAAAAUAAAGUUCCCUUCUUAUCCUCCCUUUAGAAACAAAAUGUUAUUCUAUGCUCACAAUACAAUGAGAGCCAAAACAUGCGACUUUCGCACAAGCACGUACCAGCUACCAGUGACUAUAACAUGCUUCUAAUCAAACUGGCACAUCUGCCUUUGAACAUGAAGCAAUAUUAGAUUGAUUGUACGAGCGCUCCCAAUUUUGGCCAUCAUAAUACUUGAUUUCAACAUGGGUGAGUGUUCCUGGAUCCACGCAUCUAAAUGUAACUGCAACUCCAUCUGGAUUUGAUCGAGGAGUAUAGAAUGACGUUAUGCCACAGACCUUACAGAAUGUAUGCUUAGCCAUAUGUGUACCAAAAGUGUAUGUUGUGAGGGAUUGUUUGGAAUCUCCAAGAAGCUCAAACCUUUCAGAAGGAACAACGAAGUGGAUGUGUCCCCUCAUGGAGCAAUCAGAACAGUUGCACUUCCAAGCUACAACACUGCUUGGUGCUUUGGCUCGCCAUCUCACUCUUCCACAAUGACAUCCACCAUUAUGCACUACUAUGACUGAAUCCAUCCCAAAAAACACCACUCUUCAGAGAUGUAAGAGGAAAUUAUAAUUUCUCCGCGUAUAUCCUGAGGAAUUCUCUCGAGUGGGAAAAAAGAUAAGCUUCGGUGGCUACUCUGGAUUGAGCUUUAAGCACCGAAUGCGC